ACGGGCGGGGAGAAAGAUCGGAUCACCGCGUGCGUGUGUGUGUGUGAGCAGGCAAUAAAAGUGUCAUUAAAGAUUUAAUUAUAAUUAAAUCCCUAAUAUAAUUUGACACUCGGAAUUUCUUUGACAUGUGGAAUUCCAGAUAGAUCAAGCGAUGUUUAUUAAAAAAUUACAAAUACGACUAAAAUAAUAGCAAUAUCUAAGAUUAUAAGGACGAAAUCACAGACUUAUUUUUAAAGUCUGUGAUUCGAGGAAUUUGAAGCGUGAUGCGACGAAUAUGUAAUUGGAAAGCGUCCCGGCAGCGCCACGACACAGGGAGCGAGAAAGUGAGAGGCUGAUCGAAGAGAAAGAAGAGGGAGGGAUCGUAGAUUCGAUGGGCUUCGUAGGAGCGCGAAAGGAGGGUCCCAGGAGACCCGACAGAGUGACGCCAGGAACCUCGCCGAGCGAGACGACCGGCGGCGCCCCGCGUCGCUGCUUGUGCCUGCGUGUCGCGUUCCAUACGUGCGUAAGCGUCGUCGUGCUCGUAUGCGUGCGGCGGGUCAUAUAAAUACACGCGCAUCUGCGCUAGCUCUCUUUAUCUCUUUGUGCGUUUCUCCUUCUUCUUCUCCUUCUCCAUUGCAGAGAGAGAGAGAGAGAGAGAGAGAUCCGCUCUCUCUCCUCUCCGCUUCCCGAGAACGCAGUUAUUCGGCGUCAUCUGGAUUCCGGUGUGAAUCAUGAUGUUGCUCGCGAGCUGUUUAAUCGCAGAACAGCUAGAAAUUGAAUGGCGUGCGUGUACCAAUAGAAGCGUGACGAGAGAGACAAGAAAAUUUGCAAGAUACGUAUAUGUUUAUAGAAUUUAUUAAUUUGUGCGACGAUUGUGUAAUUUUUUAAUAUUAAAUUUAUAGCGUCAUUCUACCUCUCUGUCUCUCUUUGUGAAGCGUCUUGUCGAGGUCUAUUAUUCUUGUCGGAGAGAACCAGUAAUCGAGGAGAGGACGAAUACCGUCAUCUGGAUGCGAGCGUGAUUCAUGCACGCUUGCGGCGCCGGCUGAGAGAUCGAUCGACGCUGAGAUCGUCUGGUACAAUGCGUGCUGUCACGGAACGCAAUUACGUGAUCGACGCUGCGAUUACGCAAGGACGACAAAUGCGCUUUGAUUUGCUUAAUUAAACGUGUUGCGCGUACGCGCGCUCCAAACAUAAUUAUCGUCUACGCAUUUAUAUUCGUGAAUCUAGUUUCAAUUAAAGAAAAGAAACAUCACUUGAGAAACACUAUCUUGCUUCAUCUUAAAUUUUUAUGCGCAGAGAACCACGCCGUUAUGUCACAAAGUAAAUCCUAUCACAGGUGACAUUCGAUAGCGUGUCAGCAGAAAUGAAGUUUAUGAAUGGCAAGAUUGCAUCGGUAAAAUUCGAAAUUUUGGAAAUAAUGAGGAUAAGAAUGCUUUUUUGUUUUAAUUGAGCAAGGACACUUCAUCCGAUUUCUUCCAUCGAGCGAUAUAAUUUCACAGAGGGGGAAAACGAGGUUACGAUAACGGAGGACCACGGUCAUCCCACCUUCACCGCGUGAUGAUGUUCAUGUUUGACCGAAUUCUAGCCUCAUGGCUUGCUUUCACGGAGAAUAAAGCCCGUUUCCAUGAGAGCGCUUAAUUUCAUUUACCGCAAGAUAUCCCGGCACGAUGUCUCGCGCGCAUCGAUGUUUUUCUCCUUCGCGACACUUUUAAAAAAUAUAUUCCAUUGGUCCUCGAGAGAUAGAGGAUGAUAUUAAUUACGUCACUUUCUUGACAGUAAUUCGAGAAAAUGGGACAAUUAGUCAAAUGGAAAUAAAAGAAGAGAGAAAGAAGAAUAAUUAAAAGAUAUCGUUUUAAGGAUGUAUGUGACAUAUAUCGAAAUACUAAUAAAAGUAUUAAAAUUUCAUAGAUUCUACUAUUUCUUCUGAAUAUUUGUGCAAAAACUAAACACAAUUCUCUUAACGGUUUGGAAGUUAUUUAAAUUUAAAGUUACUAUUGAUUCUUAUGGAAAAUCGCCUAUUGUAGCACUUAUUGACAAAUUUGACAAAGAAAAAAUAUUACCAAUAAAAUAAAAAUUUUCACAUAUAUUAAGGAAAUUCUAAUAAAUAUUUGUGCAAAACUUGAUUUAGAUCCAUUAAUUCGUUUAAAAGUUAUUUACUAAAAAUUGUAGAAAAAUAUUAUCUGUCUCUUUUUCUCUUUCUGCAAAUUACUCGUUUUUCAUUGUUUUUCGCAGUUGAUUUCAGAGAAUAUUCACGAUCAAAAGUUUUUGCCAUAAAUUAGGAAAAAUAUUAAUUAAAACUAUUUUCUUUUACGAAGACGUCAAAAUCCAUAUUAUUUUGCGAUACUUAAAUUUUUUUCAUAACCCAAAUUUAUUUUUUUAAUUUUUCAAACAGUAUAAACGUAAGAAACAUAUUUUCUUUUUAAUUUUGACAAUUUUUUGCUACUAUUAUACAUCCAGAACAUCCUUAAAUAACAAGAUAACAUUGCUUAAUCCAAUUUGUGUGAUACAUCAAUUACAUAAAAAUUUGUAAAGGAGAUAUAUUACAUUUUUGACAUUAACAUGUGCCAAGACAGAAAAAGGUUGACAUUUAUAUAUGUAUAAAUAUAAAUCUCGUUAGUUUUAUUUUUUGCUUUAUUAUUAGUAUAGCUUAUGAAAUGACAGAUAUUUACGUUUAAAUGUAUAAAAUGCAAAUAUAUGUCAUAUUAUUUUGCAAAAGCCUAAGCAAUUUAAUAAUCAUUUUUAAAACUAACUCGAGAUUAUUUGCGAGCGACGAAACAAUUUAAAAUCUGCUCCUCUUUCUUCGGCUUAUUUCUUUUGUUAAUUUGUAUUGGUUCGAUAUGUGUGUUGACUGAAAAGUUAGAACUGCGAUUGUCCAGCUAAAGGAAAUUUUUCUAGAGAAAAAGAUCACGUAGAUGUCAUGAUACGAAGAGAAACAUAUGUUAGUGAUUAAAAUAUUUUUUAAUCAAAAUAUUUUUUAAUAUUUUAAAAUCUGUAACAAGAAUAAUCGAUGCUGAAACAAAAUAUGUCAUGUGUCGCUACAAUGAAUUAACAGAACAAUGAAUAGAAUCUCUUUGUUUCCGCUUAAAAACAAAUGAGUCUCUUUCUGAGAAGAAGACUGUUUGUUUCAAAUCAAUGAAUCUAACUGUCAAGUUUCCCGCCAAGAAGCUUUGUCACGUUUUCGCGUGAAUGAUGCGAUUAAACUUGAACUUCAAUUUUCGUCCAAUAAAAAAGCGAUUGAGAAAUUAAUUAAAAGACAAUUCUCGUAUCAUCUAUUACAUUUACAUUCUUGAAAUACAAUUUUACAAAAUUUUUUAAUUCAAAAUCCUGCUCAAGACUUAUUUAUUUUGAAGAAGCUAUAUUCUUUUUAGUUGAUUUGAAUAUCCGUCCUUGAAAAAAUGUUCAAUGUAUUAAUAUUGUGUGUAUAAAAGCAAUUUAAUCAGGAAGAAUAACACAGCAGUCGGUGUUGAUGCGACGUAUUUACUUGCGAGAAUUUCGAAUGACAUUGGCGAUGACAAAUGGUCGGUUGUGAACGAUACCUUAGUCGUGUUCGCCGUGUCCCUCGUCGGCUACGGGAGGGGAGAAGAGAAGGGCGGAGAAUCGUUGACGUGCUGCAAGUAACACAGACUAAAGUUCUAUUCCUAGACAUGCCGAGACACCGGAGAAUAACCUCGCGCAACAGAGAAUCAAGAGGGCUUUCCCAAUCCCCAGGAUAGCCGAGUAACUUAAACUCGCUCUUUCCGCUCUUCUUAUCCGUUCUCGCUAAACUUUAUCCGCGAGAGUUCUCUACCCUUCGUCCAUUAUCCAUGUGAGAGUAAAGUUGUCGGAAGAACGUUUAGGGCAUCUUAUGUUUCUGUUAUAAAUAAAGAUAGUUGUCCGUCUAAUUGUAUUUUUUCCGUUUCAUCCAUAAAAUUAGGGAUUUUGAUAAUCAUGGAAAAAAGUUGAAGAGAUGAUAAUCAUAUAUGUUUCACUAUCAACUUGUACGUCUUUCUUUAUCCUGGUUAAAAAUUCACUACCUGAAUUAAAUAUUUAAUAUUAACGAGUGUUGGAUAAAAUGAAACUUUCUUAAAAUAGCUAGUUGUGAAAUGAAGAUUUCUUAUCCUUCAUUGCUAAUUUAUAAUUAAUGACGGUACUAAUCAUAGAUAAAAAAUGAUUAUUUAUAAUGUCUUAAAUGUACCUAUUAUACAUAUAUAUUUAUAAGCAUGGGUGACAUAUAUUUAUAAGCAAUGGUGAUCCCCAUACUUCCUAUUCGAUCUCUAUUUUUUUUGAGCGUACAUAUAUUUAAGGAUAUUUUAGCUAUACAAUAGCAACAGUAAUUGUCAAAAUUAAAAAAAAAACAAACAUAUUUCUUCCGUUUAUACUGUUUGAAAAAUCAAAUAAAUAAAUUUGGAUUACAAAAUGAUAUGGUUUUUAAUAUCUUCGUAAAAGAAAUAAUAGUUAAUAUUUUUUCUAAUUUAUGACCAAAAUUCUUGAAUGUGAAUCUGAAAAAUCAACUGCAAGAAAUAAAAAUAUGAGUAAUUUACAGGAAGAAAGAGAGAGAGAGAGAGAGAGAGAUUUACAAUUUUUAGCAAAUAACUUUUAACGAGUAAAUGGAUUUAAAUCAAAUCAUGGAUUUGAAUUAAAAUCAAAUAAUUUUUGCACAAAUAUUUAUUAGAGUUUUCUUCAUAUAUGAAAAAUUUUGAUUUUGUUGGCAAUGUUUUUUCCUUAUCAAAUUUAUCAAUAAGCGCUGCAAUACACGAUUUUCCAUAA